rnacentral:Y_RNA from 1 species
GGCUGGCCUGAGUGCAGUGGUGUUUACAACUAAUGGAUCACAACCAGUUACAGAUUCCUUUGUUCCUUCUCCACUCUCACUGCUUCACUUGACUAGCCUUUA